CAGCCGCCGCGGUAAUACGUAGGGUGCAAGCGUUAAUCGGAAUUACUGGGCGUAAAGCGUGCGCAGGCGGUUAUAUAAGACAGAUGUGAAAUCCCCGGGCUCAACCUGGGAACUGCAUUUGUGACUGUAUAGCUAGAGUACGGCAGAGGGGGAUGGAAUUCCGCGUGUAGCAGUGAAAUGCGUAGAUAUGCGGAGGAACACCGAUGGCGAAGGCAAUCCCCUGGGCCUGUACUGACGCUCAUGCACGAAAGCGUGGGGAGCAAACAGGAUUAGAUACCCCCUAGUCCCUGUCUCUUAUACC
rnacentral:rRNA from 1 species